rfam:Myotis brandtii contig275626, whole genome shotgun sequence.
GGCCUCCCUCUGUGGGGGGAUCGAUUGUGGGGCCCCCCGAUCGAUCGCCCAGCAGAGGGAGGCC